GUUACCCGCAGAAGAAGCACCGGCUAACUCCGUGCCAGCAGCCGCGGUAAUACGGAGGGUGCAAGCGUUAAUCGGAAUUACUGGGCGUAAAGCGCACGCAGGCGGUCUGUCAAGUCGGAUGUGAAAUCCCCGGGCUCAACCUGGGAACUGCAUUCGAAACUGGCAGGCUAGAGUCUUGUAGAGGGGGGUAGAAUUCCAGGUGUAGCGGUGAAAUGCGUAGAGAUCUGGAGGAAUACCGGUGGCGAAGGCGGCCCCCUGGACAAAGACUGACGC
rnacentral:rRNA from 1 species